CAAACGACUCUCGGCAACGGAUAUCUCGGCUCACGCAUCGAUGAAGAACGUAGCAAAAUGCGAUACUUGGUGUGAAUUGCAGAAUCCCGUGAACCAUCGAGUUUUUGAACGCAAGUUGCGCCCGAAGCCUUCUGGCCGAGGGCACGUCUGCCUGGGCGUCACAC
rnacentral:rRNA from 3 species